UAUUUUAUUAUUGCUUUGGCAAUAUUGACGCAAUGUUUUUCAUGCCAAUAAAACAGCUUGAUGUUGAAUUUGAUAGCGAGACAGAGAGGAGGGCUGUUUAUCUGAGACAGGGAGAGAGAGGGAGACAGAGAGGAGGGCUGUUUAUGUGAGAGAAGGAGAGAUAGAGAGACAGAGAGGAGGGCUGUUUAUGUGAGAGAGGGAGAGAGAGGGAGACAGAGAGGAGGGCUGUUUAUGUGAGAGAGGGAGAGAUAGACAGAGAGGAGGGCUGUUUAUGUGAGAGAGGGAGAGAUAGAGAGACAAAGAGGAGGGCUGUUUAUGUGAGAGAGGGAAAGAAAAAGAGAGAUAAGGAGAAGCAAGCUGUGUUUGAAAGAGGGAGAAAGAAGAGAGAGAGGGAGGGCUGUUUUGAGCUGUUUUGUGCCUGAAAAGGGAGGAGGGAGGAAGAAGAGGAGAGAACUGAGCUGUCUGAUCCGCACUGGUCUCUGCGAUAGAGAGGAGACAGGAAGGAGGAGAAGAGAGAGGAAGGAGGAGAAGAGGAGAGAGGAAGGAGAAGAGGAGAGAGGAAGGAGGAGAAGAGGAGAGAGGAAGGAGGAGAAGAGGAGAGAGGAAGGAGGAGAAGAGGAGAGAGGAGAAGAGGAGAGAGGAAGGAGGAGAAGAGAGAGGAAGGAGGAGACGAGAGGAAGGAGGAGAAGAGAGAGGAAGGAGAAGAGAGGGGAGGAGAGGAAGGAGGAGAAGAGAGAGGAAGGAGGAGAGGAGAGAGGAAGGAGGAGAAGAGAGAGGAAGGAGAAGAAGAGAGGAAGGAGGAGAAGAGAGAGGCAGGAGGAGAAGAGAGAGGAAGAAGGAGAAGAGAGAGGAAGGAGGAGAAGAGAGAGGAAGGAGAAGAGAGGGGAGGAGAGGAUAGGGAGAAGAACAGAGAUAAAGGAAUACUGUACUAACCCGUGAGGUUCAUCUGCUUGGACAGACUCAUAUUGGAGACCAGGAGGAUCCAUAGACAGUGUUUUUUUAUUAUUAUUAUUAUUAUUAUUAUUAUUGUAUUAUUAUUUUAUUUUUUGUACCGACACUUUUAUUUUUGUAUUUUUUGUAUUUUUUUGUUGUUGUACCGACCCUUUUUUUUUUUUUUUUUUUUCAUAAUACAAAAAUCAACUUACAUCAAACAUGUCUAGCAAACCAAACACAGGUAUUAACAAUGCUCAAACAUACAAAAAAUAUAAAAAUAAAAUACAAAAAAUAAACAAUUUAAGGGCAAUUAUAUUCACUCUGAAAAUAUCUUAUUUUAAUGAUUCAUGAAUGUGUUAUUAUUGUUGUUUAUUAAAACACUAGGGUUAGUGUUUUAAUAAGAUAAUUAAAUUUAAUCAGAAAAAUUGGUAAUUUUUGUAUUGAAUUUUGGAAUUUUUGUUUGUGUAUAAAGUAUUUGGCAACAAUAAUAAAAAAAUGAACAAUCA